rnacentral:rRNA from 1 species
GACGAACGCUGGCGGCGUGCUUAACGCAUGCAAGUCGAACGUGAUUUUUGUGGAAAUUCUUUCGGGAAUGGAAAUGAAAUGAAAGUGGCGAACGGGUGAGUAACACGUGAGCAACCUACCUUACACAGGGGGAUAGCCGUUGGAAACGACGAUUAAUACCGCAUGAGACCACAGAAUCGCAUGAUAUAGGGGUCAAAGAUUUAUCGGUGUAAGAAGGGCUCGCGUCUGAUUAGCUAGUUGGAAGGGUAAAGGCCUACCAAGGCGACGAUCAGUAGCCGGUCUGAGAGGAUGAACGGCCACAUUGGAACUGAGACACGGUCCAAACUCCUACGGGAGGCAGCAGUGGGGAAUAUUGCACAAUGGGGGGAACCCUGAUGCAGCGACGCCGCGUGAGCGAAGAAGGUUUUCGAAUCGUAAAGCUCUGUCCUAUGAGAAGAUAAUGACGGUAUCAUAGGAGGAAGCCCCGGCUAAAUACGUG